UCAGCCUCAUGUUUCAGAAUUUAUUGGACAGUGGUCGACAAUGAUUCCCGAAGCAUACUGCGAGAGCAACCAAAGCUUUUUUUUUAGCAAUGGACGAUGGUUGAGCCUGGAACAAGGUGUAGUCGAUCAUCGUUAACAGCCUGCUUAAGGCAGUCCCUAGCCUCACUUCGUCUCCAGAUCAACAACACGACUCCACGAAUCCUGCAUUGCUCGCCUGCCUUGACAGCUCACCUGCUCACUCGCAAAUGCCCACCUGAUCAUUCGGACACAGACUGCUUUUGUAUUAUGCAAUAAACUGUUGUUACCGCUGC